GAUUCUACCUAUGCCUUUCACUGUCCAGAUUUUGUGAGAACUGUGCAACUCUGUAUCUGUCUGUUGAGUCUGUGUCUCUUCUUGAUGUCCUCGGUGCUGUGCCCUGUUUUGCGUCUUGAUUUUGCCCAGGAGUGCAAAAGACUAAGUGUGGUCUAUUUUGAUGAGUCAAUAUUUUACACCAUUAACUUAGUUUUUCGCGCCGAAUUGUGU
rnacentral:lncRNA from 1 species